rnacentral:rRNA from 1 species
AGAGCGAACGCUGGCGGCAUGCUUAACACAUGCAAGUCGCACGGGCACUUCGGUGUCAGUGGCGGACGGGUGAGUAACGCGUAGGUAUCUAUCCUUGGGUGGGGGACAACGGUUGGAAACGACUGCUAAUACCGCAUAAUAACUGAGGUUUAAAGGCGCAAGUCGCCUGAGGAGGAGCCUGCGUACGAUUAGCUAGUUGGUGGGGUAAAGGCCUACCAAGGCGACGAUCGUUAGCUGGUCUGAGAGGAUGAUCAGCCACAUUGGGACUGAGACACGGCCCAAACUCCUACGGGAGGCAGCAGUGGGAAUAUUGGACAAUGGGCGAAAGCCUGAUCCAGCAAUGCCGCGUGUGUGAAGAAGGUCUUCGGAUUGUAAAGCACUUUCGACAGGGACGAUGAUGACGGUACCUGUAGAAGACGCCCGGCUAACUUCGCGCCAGCAGCCGC